rnacentral:lncRNA from 1 species
ACAUGGCCGUGUGGUCGCUGUGGGUGGGCAGGCACCAGGUGCAGCACCUACUGGCCUCGAGUGCCUUGUAGGAGAGCAAGGGAUGGCCGCUUCCAUUCUGCACGGCCACCCUGAUAACUGCUGGUGUGGACUGCUGUUCUGAGGACGCUCCUGAUGAGCUUGGGCCCUCUCUUGCCCAACAAGCCUUAAGGGUAAAGCUGUUAAACUGGAGAAGGAAGUCCAGGAUUUAACCAUGAGAUAGCACAGAGCUGUAGCUGAUUGUGAAAACAUAAGGAGGCAAACCGAGAGAUGUGUGGAAGAUGCCAAGAUAGGUGGCUGACAUUUUGGAGACGACUACACAGUAAAUUUCUGAAGAAUCAGAGCCUGGGAACCAGAAGCUCACUCUGGAGAAGGUCUUCCGAGGGUUGUCACUUUUAGAAGCAAAGCUGAAAAAUGUGUUUGCCAAGCAUGGCCUGGAGAAGCUAUCACCCAUUGGUGACAAAUAUGACCCCCAAGAGCAUGAACUCAUCUGUCAUGUGACAGCUGCUGUUGGGGUGCAGCCUAGCACCGUGACAUUAGUAAGACCAGAUGGCUACAAACUUCAUGGCUGCACCAUUAGACUUGCCCGGGUGGAAGUUGCUGUGGAGUCUCAGAGAAGACU